UACCCUUGACAUGUCCGGAAUCCCGAAGAGAUUUGGGAGUGCUCGCAAGAGAACCGGAACACAGGUGCUGCAUGGCUGUCGUCAGCUCGUGUCGUGAGAUGUUGGGUUAAGUCCCGCAACGAGCGCAACCCUUGUCAUUAGUUGCCAUCAUUGGUUGGGCACUCUAAAUGAGACUGCCGGUGACAAACCGGAGGAAGGUGGGGAUGACGUCAAGUCCUCAUGGCCCUUAUGGGUAGGGCUUCACACGUCAUACAAUGGUCGGUACAGAGGGUUGCCAACCCGCGAGGGGGAGCUAAUCCCACAAAGCCGAUCGUAGUCCGGAUCGCAGUCUGCAACUCGACUGCGUGAAGUCGGAAUCGCUAGUAAUCGUGGAUCAGAAUGUCACGGUGAAUACGUUCCCGGGUCUU
rnacentral:rRNA from 1 species